UACGUAGGGGGCAAGCGUUUGUCCGGAAUCAUUGGGCGUAAAGAGCGCGUAGGCGGCCCUGUAAGUCCGCUGUGAAAGUCAAGGGCUCAACCCUUGGAUGCCGGUGGAUACUGCAGGGCUAGAGUCCGGAAGAGGCGAGUGGAAUUCCUGGUGUAGCGGUGAAAUGCGUAGAUAUCUGGAGGAACACCGGUGGCGAAGGCGGCAUCCUGGACCGAUACUGACGCUGAGGAGCGAAAGCCAGGGGAGCAAACAGG
rnacentral:rRNA from 1 species